rnacentral:rRNA from 1 species
AUGCUUGCUGCUUGGAAUGAGCUUUUUAGUGCAGUUAAGGACCUGGUUUUGAAUGAUAGUGAUGACACUAUCAUUUGGGACUUGGAGUCCAAGUGGGUUUACAUAGUUAAAUCCUUUUAUAACUUUGUGAAUUUUAGAGGAGUGAUUCUAGAUAACAUUAUGACGAUUUGGAAUGCUAAUGUUCCUCAGAGAAUUCAGAUUUUCCUUUGGUUGCUAGUUAAGAACAAGCCACUAACCAGGGACAAUCUUCAGAAAAGACAACAUGUAGCAGAUGCUACCUGUCUUUAUUGCAAUGAACUAGAAUAUGUAAAUCAUCUAUUUUUUGAUUGUGUGGUUUCGAGAGAACUCUGGAGAGAGAUUUUUGGCUCCCUAGGGGGCGACAUCGAGCUUAACUCGUAUGGGUUCCUUUAA